GAUGAACGCUGGCGGCAUGCCUAAUACAUGCAAGUCGAACGAACAGACGAGGAGCUUGCUCCUCUGACGUUAGCCGCGGACGGGUGUGUAACAUGUGAAUAACUCACCUAUAAGACUGUGAUCACUUCGGGAAACCGGUGCUAAUGCCGGCUAAUUUAUUGAACCGCAUGGUUCAAUAGUGAAAGACGGUUUUGCGGUCACCUAUAGAUGGAUUAGCGCCGCUUUGGCUAGUGGGGAGGGUAACGCCUUACCAAGGCAACGAUGGGUGGCCGACCUGAGCGAGUGAUCGGCCACACGGGAACGGAGACACGCUCAAGACUCCUAGGGGAGGCGGAAGGGGGGAAUCUUCCGCAAUGGGCGAAGGCCUGACGAGGCAACGCGGCGUGAGUGAUAAAGGUCUUGGGAUCGAAAGCAUCUGUUAUUAGGGAAGAACAAAUGUGUAAGUAACUAUGCACGUCUUGACGGUACCGAAUCAGAAAGCAACGGCUAACUACGUG
rnacentral:rRNA from 1 species